CGAUAUAAUGCGCCAUGUAUUAUUUAACAAAGAGGCUGUACUCUAUGGUACAGCCAUCUGUACCAUCUCUAUGGUAUGGCUGUACUCUAUGGUGAAGUUAUUAGGAUAUAGGAAAGUUAAGAGAAUGUUGAAAGAUUCCUACCAGAAGAAAGUGUGGCAGGUCACUAGUGGGAAAUAUAAUGCUAGUCGCAUUCAGUACAAUUUAAGCAUUAACAAUACAAAUCAAUAAUUAAUGUUCUACAAAGUCUUCACUUGGAAGGACCCGACAGAUAGCGUUAAUAUUUAUAAUACAUAGUGAAAACACUGAC
rnacentral:lncRNA from 1 species